GUGAAUCAUCGAAUUUUUGAACGCAAAUUGCACUCUCUGGUAUUCCGGAGAGUAUGCCUGUUUGAGGGUCAGUUUAAAUAAAAAUCGGUGUGGUUGCUGCCUUUGUGGUUACGCCCCGGAUGUUGGUCGUCUUUCCUUUGGUUAAGGUACCUAAAAUUUUGCAUGGUUUUUUCGAACGUAUUUAAAUUAUUUUACGGACGUUUUCGAUAUCGAAUACU
rnacentral:misc_RNA from 1 species